CCCUGGUUAGGUCAGUUGGCAGAGCACUCCACUUGUAAUGGAAAGGUUCCCGGUUCGAUAUCCGGACUAGGCA
rnacentral:tRNA from 1 species